rnacentral:lncRNA from 10 species
CUAGAAGGUGUGGCUCCCAGCUCUACUAUAGCUGACCAGUGCUAAGGUGAAUCCACUGGUCACCACUAGUCUGUCAGGUGCCACUCAGUGACCUGGGAGUGAAGAUCAGGUCUGGUUCGGAUACAUCAAGCAUUAACGCUACCAGCUGUUCCCUCACAUUUUGUCUUCAUCCCCAAGGGUGGAUGGAAAGGAAGAAGGCAGUGAUAUUGUUUCAGCCUCUUUCUCAAUCUCUUGGCCUGCCUCAGCCCCUGCCCCUGGGUCAUCCCACCACUGCCUUUGGGAGCCAGAGUCUUCAAGCCAGAAUGUCUCCAAAUAAAGCUGUGGGGACCAUCCUGAGUCUUCCCCAGGCUGAGGAAGGAUAGCUUGUCUGCUCAGUUACCUGUUGUUUUCUAUUUCCAUCAAUUUCUGUUGUUUUCUAUUGCUACUGUAACAGAUUUCCACAAACUUCAUGGCACAAAUUGAAACAACA